rnacentral:lncRNA from 1 species
AAAAAAAAAAUUCAGACUUUUCAGUUUGGUCGAAUACAUCAUAAAUUAGUCAUGGGGGUGGGGGUGGGGGGAUCAGCCCAACUAUUUUUGUUUUAUCUUAAUGACAUCGACCUCGCUUGUGCAACAUCACAAUAUCAGGAAUUACUCUAGCUGAUGUGCAUACAAGGCAGAGGUCUCAACCUGGAGGGCCAUUGACUAGAUUCAAGUCACAGGUGUGUUUGCUUUGGCUGGAUCAGGCUAUCUUUCAAACUGUUUUAAAUGGGGCUGUCUAGUCUACCACAGUCCCCUCUACUCCCUAAUAUCUUACACCCUGUACACUCAUUUACAGGGAAUCUGAUGAUAAUAGCAGCCUUUGAUGUAACAAAUGCUUGGUAACAUAAGGAGAAGGAAACUCUUUUUGUUAACAAUAUUUGCUAACAAACAGUAAGUGCUGGAGAGGGUGUGGAGAAAAAGGAACCCUAGUACACUGUUGGUGGGACUGGUGCAACCACUGUGGAAAACAGUAUGGAGAUUCCUCAGAAAACUAAAACUAGAACUACCAUGUGAUCCAGCAAUCCCACUCCUGGGCUUCUAUCCUGAGAAAACCACGACUCACAAAGACACAUGUACUCCGAUGUUCAUUGCAGCACUCUUCAAUAGCCAAGACAUGGAAACAACCUAAAUGUCCAUCGAGAGAGGAGUGGAUCAAGAAGAUGUGGUACAUAUACACAAUGGAAUAUUACUCAGCCAUUAAAGGAAAGAAAUAAUGGCAUUUUUAGCAAUACGGAUGGACCUAGAAAUUAUCAUGCUAAGUGAAGUCAGUCAGACAAUGAGACACCAACAUCCAAUGCUUUCACUGACAUGUAGAAUCUGAAAAAAGGACAGACUGAACUUCUUUGCAGAACAGAUACUGACUCACAGACUGAAAAACUUAUGGUUUCCAAAGGAGACAGUUCAGGGGGUGGGGGGAUGCGCUGGAGUUGUGGGAUGGAAAUCCUAUAAAAUUGGAUUGUGAUGAUCAUUGUACAACUAUAAAUGUAUAUUGAGUAUUAAAAAAAGAAGAAAAAACAAUAUUUGUUAAUAAAUAUGGGUGUAUCGGGUUAAUAAUAUGUGGGUAUUGGUUAACAGCAUUUGGAUAACACUAACAGUAAAAUGUGCUGAGGGCUUACUCUCUGCCAGAAAUCAUUGCCUUGAUGGAGGAGGACAGUCACACAGGGAGUUGUAGCUGUCCCAAGAAGGGUCCAUAGAUAGAGAGGGAAACCUGGAGAACUUUGGGAGACCAGUGUAAGUUCAAAGUCACCCAAGAAAGCCAUCAGGGGAGUUCCCAUCGUGGCGCAGUGGUUAACGAAUCUGACUAGGAACCAUGAGGUUGCGGGUUCGAUCCCUGCCCUUGCUUAGUGGGUUAAUGAUCCGGCGUUGCCGUGAGCUGUGGUGUAGGUUGCAGAUGCGGUUUGGAUCCCGCGUUGCUGUGGCUCUGGCGUAGGCUGGUGGCUACAGCUCUCAUUCGACCCCUAGCCUGGGAAACUUCAUAUACCACAGGAGCGGCCCAAGAAAUGGCAAAAAGACAAAAAAAAAAAAAAAAAAAAAAAAGAAAGCCAUCAGAACAUCUUGGGACAAAGCAGCCUUGCUUAACUAUAAAACUAUCAGUAAAAGCACAAGAUAUGCCUCAGGUCGUUAAGGGAAAGAUAAAAUGAGGCUUGUACUCAGUUCAGCAAGAUAGGGAUCCUUAGGACCAAGUACAGGAAUUUUAGGGAAGGAUGACCUUCCAAGGUAGGAGACCCUCAUUAUACAGAAACCUGAGAUGAUUCAACAUAGUUUGGCACCUGUUACUGCCCUUCUGCUGAUUUGAAUAAGCACCAUGACAGUCCAGCUUGACCUCAUAGGUUCAAAUACUCUUUUACCUGAUAUAAAGGAGGAGCUAGUGAUGUAAGCCC